CUCAGCCACUCGACGCUCCUCUCCUGCACUGCUGCCCGGACUCCUGCCAGCCAAUCUUCCAUCUUGCCAGAAACCUGCAGAGGAGACAAAGAAAAAAGCCACACAAAUCCUGCCAGAACAACAGGUAAGUGCAACUUAGAUUAAAAUGUCCCUUAGACUUAAAAUGGCCCCUUCUUAUACUCCCAUUAUAACUCCACCCCACUUUCAUUUUCUUUGGCCAAUCCCCA